rnacentral:rRNA from 1 species
GACGAACGCUGGCGACGUGCUUAACACAUGCAAGUCGAACGGAAAGGCCCUGCUUGCAGGGUACUCGAGUGGCGAACGGGUGAGUAACACGUGGGUGAUCUGCCCUGCACUUCGGGAUAAGCUUGGGAAACUGGGUCUAAUACCGGAUAGGAGCCAUCUUUAGUGUGGUGGUUGGAAAGUUUUUUCGGUGUAGGAUGAGCUCGCGGCCUAUCAGCUUGUUGGUGGGGUAAUGGCCUACCAAGGCGGCGACGGGUAGCCGGCCUGAGAGGGUGUACGGCCACAUUGGGACUGAGAUACGGCCCAGACUCCUACGGGAGGCAGCAGUGGGGAAUAUUGCACAAUGGGCGCAAGCCUGAUGCAGCGACGCCGCGUGGGGGAUGAAGGCCUUCGGGUUGUAAACUCCUUUCGCUAGGGACGAAGCUUUGUUGUGACGGUACCUAGAUAAGAAGCACCGGCUAACUACGUG